rnacentral:rRNA from 1 species
CCUACGGGAGGCAGCAGUGGGGAAUCUUGCGCAAUGGGGGAAACCCUGAUGCAGCGACGCCGCGUGAGUGAAGAAGGAAUUCGUUAUGUAAAACUCUGUUAGUAGGGAAGAAAAUGACGGUAACUGACUAAGAAGCCCCGGCUAACUACGUGCCAGCAGCCGCGGGCAUACGUAGGGGGCAAGCGUUAGCCGGAUUUACUGGGGGUAAAGGGAGCGUAGACGGCAGUGCAAGGCUGGAGUGAAAGGCGGGGGCUCAACCCACGGACUGCACUGGAAACUGUACGGCUGGAGUGCAGGAGAGGAAAGUGGAAUUCCAUGUGUAGCGGUGAAAUGCGCAGAUAUUAGGAGGAACACCAGUGGCGAAGGCGGCUUACUGGACUGUAACUGACGCUGAGGCUCGAAAGCGUGGGGAGCAAACAGGAUUAGAUACCCGAGUAGUC